rnacentral:lncRNA from 1 species
GUGAUUCUAAAACAUGUUAUCUCCUCUCUGUCCGGAUAAAGUAAUGUUGGAUGAGACCCUUGAGGACCUCCCUAAUACUGAACGUCUAUUCAUAAUCUGAUGUGGGACAAAGUACAGGGGAAACACCAAGAGUGAUCAACUGACCCGGGCAGCCAGAAGAGAUGAUAGGGAUACAUAUUCUUAACGGUGAUAGAGUGGUUUCAUAGAACAAAAUAGGCUGUUCCUGCCCGAGGGAACAUGGACUUCAGUGGAAGAGACACUCAGAAGAGAGCUGCGAAACAAAUUACAAUGUAGAUGAUUCCGUAGCUGGGCUGCAGCACCGUCCCUGGAGAGCACAUGACAGGAAUGCAUGUUGGGCAGGAUGUGAAGCUGAGCCCUGGGCUGAAGCAAACUUGACCCCACCUGCGGACAGGACACUUCUGAAGCCGCUGCCUCG